rnacentral:rRNA from 1 species
GACGAACGCUGGCGGCGUGCCUAAUACAUGCAAGUAGGACGCAGUUGCGAACGGGUGAGUAACGCGUAGGUCACUAUCUAUGAGAGGGGGAUAACAAUUGGAGCCGAUAGCUCAUACCGCAUACUAGUAGAUGUACCUGCGUUGUAUUAGCGAGGAGGUAGGGUAAUGGCCUACCUAGGCAACGUUACAUAGUCGAGCUGAGAGGGAGAACGGCCACCAUGGGACUGGGACACGGGCCAGAACCCUACGGGAGGCAGCAGUAGGGAAUUAUUGGAAAUGGGGGGAACCCUUACCGCGGCAAGCCGCGGGAGAGAAGAAGGGUUUCGGAUUGGAAAGCUCCGUUGUGAAGGGAGCGGUACUUAACCAGAAAGGGACGGCUAACUACGUGCCAGCAGCCGCGGUAAUUC